UUAAUCAUGCUCUAAAGACAACUAAAGAGUAAGGGUACUAUCGUCAUUGUACACAGUCGAAAGCCCAAAACCCUUUCUUCAGUCUUCCUUCCACCUGCAUCGCUUUCUUCUGCAAUUCUCGCCGGAGAGCUCCCAUCUACCUGUUGGCUGUUUUAGGCUGAGAAGAGGAUGUUGAAGUUCCUAUCAAAAGUAAAGAUCGAGUUCAACACAUUGGAUCCAAGACUCGCCUCUUGCGUCGAGUUCUUGGCUCAGUGCAACGCGAGGAAGGCCAAGGAGUCGAACCCUAACUGCCAGGUUCUGGUGAAACGCAGAACCGACGAUCAGCCACCGCAGAUCAGCGUCACGUUCGUUAAUGGUGUUGAGGAAGCUUUCGAUGCGGCUGCCACGUCGGCUCAGUCCAUCAGGAAGAUGAUUCUUGAUAAAGGGCAGUAUCUCGAGACAGAGCAGAUGUUCCGUGAAGCCGGGGAGCAGUGGCCUGUCAUCAUCCCUGAGGAAGAGAUUCACCAAGAAGCUCCUGGUGUUAAGCCGAGGAAAGCAGAAGACAAGAAGCAAUGAUAUGCUCGCUUGAUUUGGGUUUGCUCUUGUUCAGUUUGGGGUAUGUAUGACUCUUGAUAUGUGUCUCAAGCUUUGGGUUUCAGAGGUUGGUGAGGCUUGUUUUGCAAGAUGAGCCAACAUACUGGUGUGAUUUUAGGAAUAAACUUAAAGCAGAUAGAAGGAAGUAUAGCAGAUAAGGCUUUGGAUACCUAUACAUGUCCUUGGGUACUCUGUUUGAUGUGUCGGAUUAGAGCUUUUGAAUCUGACCUGAUACAUAUAUUGUUUAAGCGUUGUUCUUGAGCUUGAAAGAGAGAAUUCAUGUUUGUCAA